CUUCUUUCUCUUACUUUUUCUUUCGUUUCCAUUUUUUCUUGUUUCUCCUUGUUCCUCCUCCUCUUCUUUGGUUUCUUCUCCCGCCGCCUCUUCUUCUUCAUUUCCUUUAUUUUUUUUUGUUUACUUCUUCUUCUUUGUUUCAUUUUUCUUCUUCUUUAGAGAAGUCGUUGUCCGCCUUUUCUGUUCGUGGUCGCCGAUUGAUGUCGGAGAUGAAAACCGAAGACACCAUUAUCACCGAUAGGAGCUUUACGGCGAAAGAAAGAAGGAUAAGUUGUUCUUACCGUGUUCUUGAUUUUGUUUCCUUUUGUGUUCUGCUUGCUUGGAGUAGCAACAAAUGCUUUGUUGAUAUCUAGUUACAAAUCUCUUGUUUUGGAAAUUAUUUAAUUAUAUGUUGUGUUGCUACUUUGGGUUAUUCCGAUUUUGUACAAAAAAUAUAUUAUAGGCUAAAAUUGGAAAUUGAAAAAAUUUUGUUAGUUGAGUUGAAUUCCAAGAUCCAAUCACACUUAUAUGGUUGUUUGAUGUGGGAUAUUUGUGGAGAAAACUCUGAGAUGAGGAUUGUGUAUGACAAUCUAAGCAUUAACAUUUGAGUCACUUCUAGGAGAAUAACAUUAAACACUGCAGAAAUGUAGUUGGUCCCGUAAGUAACAUAUACUUGCAUUAUAAUUUUCUGCGAUUGAUUCAUGUAUGUAAAUUUAUGGAAUAAAAGAGUCAUUGGAGUUGUGCCGAUCUCACCAUGCCUCACCUUGAAGUCUUCACUACUUCUAAAUGGAAGUAUUUAUCCUUGCUAAUAUUAUAAUAUGAUACCAUGUUUUUUAAGAUAAUGUAUCUUAUAUUAAUAAAUCACUGCGGGACUAGAUUAUUGCAGACGAAUCUUUUAUAGCCACUUAAAGACAUUGAAACCAUAAAUGCCAACAAAAUUGUACUACACCCCGGAGAAUUGCUCUUAUGAACGAUCUGAUGUUUUAAAUAGUUAAGUUGCUAUUGUUAGUUGUUAGAAUGCAUUUGUAAUUAUGUUAGGAUUUUCUGUACUUGAGUAUGGUUUAGUUUCUACCGUCACUAGCUAAAUAGAGUUGAAUUGGAUAACAUGCUCUAGCACAGUUGUUCAUCUUAUCAGUUUAGUUUUAAAAUUUUUGUUGAUAUACAUUAAUGAUUGCAUUAAUCCUUGGUGAAAGUUAAGGAUGAGUUGAUGAGCAAUGAACAACUUUUUUUUGGCUUGUCUCAGGCUCUUUGGAAGUUCCCAAAAGAAACUGAAAGAGACGAAUCUUGAUAAAACUGCCUUAGAUACUUUACCAUUAUUUUCGAAGGUGAUACCCUAGCCAUUGUUAAGGUGUAUGUUACAACUGUAAUAGUCCCGGAGACCGCACUCAUCCUUCCAACUAAUGCUGGAGCGAAAAUUCUCGGUGAUGUAUUCGACGGAGAUAAUAUCGAGUAGAUUUACAAGGAUUUGGUUCGCCGCCCGAGAUUGCAUACUCCAUGAUUCAGCACUCGACGAGCUGGGUCAUUCAUAGUUGUAUUUAUGAGUUGCCCUUAAGAUCGUACUUACGUAUGAUAUCAUAUUUAUCUAUUUACGUAUUACUUUUUGGUUUUGCGUAUUGUUAUUUAGUAGGUUGUUAUGAUGGUGUACGGAUUCGUGUUUUCUUGGGAUGUUUUGUUAGCACCGUUGACGACUAAUAUUUUAUUUUUGGCUGGACUAUGAACAUUGUUAUAUUGAUAACCAUGUGUAGUAUUACCAUGGAUUUGGAAACAAUUAUGAUAAGAUUAAGUUUUAAAUUA